rnacentral:lncRNA from 1 species
UAGAAGUACAAAAUCAAAUACAACAAACUUACUGUAAAUCUAAACAAUAGAUCAAGGCUCAUAGGUGGAAAGCAGCAAUUCCAUCAGGGUGAGGUCAUUACCUGUACAAGGUGAAAAAAAGAAUGAUGAUUCUGCCUUCAUACUACUAAAGAUUACAGGCUCUACCAUGAUGCUUUGGCUAAUAAAAGGUCAAGGUGCCCUGACUAGCAUUAGGAGAGGUAAAUCUUAUCAUUAUUUUAGUUGUAUAUGCAUAUAUUCAUGUGUAAAUCCACUACAUGUUACGUUGAGUAAUGUGUGUAUAUAUGUUUUAGAAGAUAAACUAUGAUGCUGAUGAAGAAAGGACAAGCUAUAAAAUUUGCAGAGGGUGUAUAAGAGAUCCAAAAUGCAGAAUGCACCUUUUGUGUCUACUUUAGUUAUGUAAAGUGUUGUUUUAGGGACUGUUAAUGCCGCACCUACAUUUGUUAUAUGCAGAAUGCACAGCUCUAAUCUCCCCUAAUCAUCACUCUUGCUUAAUGAUUAUAUAGAUUGAAAGCUUCAUCUUUCAAACUUUAUGUCAACUAUACAUGAAAUCCAGAUUGCAUGAUCAUGUUUUUUGGUUAAUGACUCGAGCUUGAUCACCUCUUUUGAUUAGAAUCUGGAUGCACGUGCCAUCUUUCACUCCAUAGUAUGUAAAUCCCUACAAUGAUGGCGGCAGCAUCUGCAACAGCUCUGGGCAUCGAGGUGGUGGACAACAAGGCUCUUUAACUAGUCAUUGUUUAUUCAGGUUCUAUGGUGGCCAUGCAUUGGAUGCUCUUAUCAAAAGUGUUUGUUGUUGUACAAUAGGUGAUGAUUAGACUAGAAAAUUUUUGUUUGGAACUUAUGUUUUAGAGAAGAGAAAGAAAUUCUUUGGAAUUAAUGAGGGAAGAACUAAAGAACAAAAGAGGAUAUACAUAUAUGUAUAUUUGUAUUUUUUUUCUCUCUUAAAAAUUCUUUAACAAUAAUGCUACAUAUUGUUUAAGUAGGCA